CAAUGGCAUGUCUUCUGUCACUGUUGAGGUUGAAGCUAAUGGGUUAAUAUUUAAACACACAUCUUCAGCUGGAGACAAGAGAACAGCUAAAAAAUUAGCUUCCAAAGAGGUUUUGAAGGCCUUGAAGGAUGCAUUUAACAUCUAGAGCAAAUUAGAUUGGUGUGCAAUAACCAUUCAAACUCUUCCUUUGUGCAUUCAAAAUUUUCAAAAUCCCCCACCUGGAAUUCUCAGUUGUCUGCUUCAUUUUUUGAUGCUUGGCCGCUCUUUUAUGAUGAUGCAUAAGCAGCAGCUAGUAUCCAUUGGUGUUCCUGUCAAAUUUUGGGGUUAUAAGAGCUACAAUUCUGCCAUAUUGUGCUGUAUUAGAUGCUGCAUAUUGUUUAAUUCAAAGUGUAAUUCGGACUUUUGUUUAAAAAAAAUUUUUUUUUCUUAAAAAAAA
rnacentral:misc_RNA from 1 species